rnacentral:rRNA from 1 species
GUAGUUUACUAUAAUUUCCUGAGACCGGCGCACGGGUGCGUAACACGUAUGCAACUUACCCUUUACUGGGGCAUAGCUCAGAGAAAUCUGAAUUAAUUCCCCAUAAUGAUAUUGAAUCGCAUGAUUUGAUAUCUAAAGCUCCGGCGGUAAAGGAUAGGCAUGCGGUGUAUUAGCUAGUUGGUGAGGUAAUGGCUCACCAAGGCUACGAUACAUAGGGGUUCUGAGAGGAUGAUCCCCCACACUGGUACUGAGACACGGACCAGACUCCUACGGGAGGCAGCAGUAGGGAAUAUUGGUCAAUGGACGCAAGUCUGAACCAGCCAUGCCGCGUGCAGGAUGACGGCCCUCUGGGUUGUAAACUGCUUUUAUAUGGGAAGAAACCCCGGGAUGCGUUCCGGGCUGACGGUACCAUACGAAUAAGGAUCGGCUAACUUCGUGCCAGCAGCCGCGGUAAGACGAAGGAUCCAAGCGUUGUCCGGAUUUACUGGGUUCAAAGGGUGCGUAGGCGGAUGCUUAAGCCAGUGGUGAAAUCUCUCAGCUCAACUGAGAAACUGCCAUUGGAACUGGGUAUCUUGAAUUCGAUUGAGGUAGAUGGAAUAUAACAUGUAGCGGUGAAAUGCUUAGAUAUGUUAUGGAACACCGAUUGCGAAGGCAGUCUACUAAGUCGACAUUGACGCUGAGGCACGAAAGCGUGGGUAGC